rnacentral:piRNA from 1 species
UCCAGUCCUGACUGCAUGCACACGC